ACGAACUAAAGGCCCACAAUGGCCGUCCUUUUCCUCUCACCCCUGCGCUGCCGUCCUCCUUGGCUCUGUGCUGCAGGAGCCACUACCACCACCCACAUCCUCGUCCUCCUCAAUCCGGCGGCCUUCGCCAACCACCGGCAGCUCCGGCACAAAGCUCCGUUGAGAUGCAUCACACUCCCUUGCCGUCGCCACAGGCCACCGGUUGUCCUCUACGGCCGGCGGUCGGCGGCUCCCGCCACCUCGCCCACAUCCCGCACCACCGCUAGUCCAUCCCCCCACCUAAGGAUCUCCUCUACAGCCGAGAAGCAGCACUAACCCCGAACCCAAAGAUCCUAACCCAACUCGCAAGCGGGGGGAGGAGGAGCACGUCGCGAGUGGAAGGAGGAGAAGCUGUUGGGCUGCCGCGCUGGGCUGAAUUGGGAAAUUGUAGCCACGGCGUGCGGGGCCCACUCACAGCUGAAUCAAUCGAUGGGCCAGUACCGGCGCACGGACCUUUUCCUUGUGGCAGACUCCUAAAAGUCAAGUUCACCAGAGGAGAAGCACCGGGCCCUCAUGAUUUCAUUAAGGCCAGCUUGAGCAGCCCACUCACGGUCCGGAACCACCACCACGAAGCCUAAAAGAAUAACUGGGCAGCAGUGGAGCAAAUCUAUUUUGGGCCUCUAAUGUAACAUGGAGCUAAUCUACUUCCGGCCUCUCCUGUAACGUGGAGCUAAUCUCUUUUUGGGCCUCUACUUCGCCUGGUUCAUGGGCUGGUUUCCCCAGAUUCUAGUUUGUUUCCGGACCAACCUAACAAAAAUAUACUGGUCCGGUGUGGGCUGGUUUUGCAUGGGCUGCCGUCGGAUUAAAUUAAUACUGGAAAUGAUGACAUUUUGAACAAAAUUUGACUCAAACAUUGGAAAUAUAAAUUAUGAAUAAUUUUUAAGUUAUUAAGUUUGAAAAA